ACGUAUUGGAUAGUGGCUCAAUUCCUAGGGCAGCGACCCAUAAGAACAAAGGAGCUUUUCAUAGUAGGCGAGCCUAGUACCCAAGUUAGAUUGUGGUUGUAUUGGCUCCAAGCAGAAUGGAGGCCCUUUAGGGGGAGCCCCCUCUUGUCGCAAUGGUGUGGGGUGUCAGAGUUUGUUACCUCGCAGCCAACUCGAAGGGGCUGAAGUUCGACGCAUUGGAUAGCGGCUCAGUUCCUAAGGUACCCAUUCAUAAAAACAAAGGACCUUUUCAUAGUAGGCGAGCCCAGUACCCAAGUUAGGUUGUCAUUGUAUUGGCUGCAAGCGGAAUGGGGCCGUCUUAGGUGUGUGUUUGACCAUGCACUCUCGCUUUUAUGGAUUCAAACCCUGCCAUAAAUAAAAUUU